UGCGUAGGGGGCAAGCGUUGUCCGGAAUCAUUGGGCGUAAAGAGCGCGUAGGCGGUCCGGUAAGUCCGCUCUGAAAGUCCGGGGCUCAACCCUCGGAUGCCGGUGGAUACUGUCGGGCUUGAGUACGGAAGAGGCGAGUGGAAUUCCUGGUGUAGCGGUGAAAUGCGCAGAUAUCAGGAGGAACACCAAUUGCGAAGGCAGCUCGCUGGGACGUUACUGACGCUGAGACGCGAAAGCGUGGGGAGCAAACAGG
rnacentral:rRNA from 1 species